GCGACAAGGAGCAAUCUGAGGUGGCGACCGGCGCACGGGUGAGUAACACGUAUGCAACCUGCCUGUAAGCGGGGAAUAACCCGUUGAAAGACGGACGUAAUACCGCAUAAUACUAAAUUUACUGCAUGGUAAUUUAUUUAAACAUUUAUGGCUUACAGAUGGGCAUGCGCAUGAUUAGCUAGUUGGAGAGGUAACGGCUCCCCAAGGCAACGAUCAUUAGGGGUUCUGAGAGGAAGGUCCCCCCACACUGGUACUGACGACACGGACCAGACUCCUACGGGAGGCAGCAGGUAGGGAAUCUUCCGCAAUGGACGAAAGUCUGACGGAGCAACGCCGCGUGAGUGAAGAAGGUUUUCGGGAAUCGUAAAACUCUGUUGUCAGAGAAGAACAAGUUGGAGAGUAACUGCUCCAGCCUUGACGGUAUCUGACCAGAAAGCCACGGCUAACUACGUGCCAGCAGCAGC
rnacentral:rRNA from 1 species